AAGAGAGCACUAGACGCAUUAAACACUCACCUUGCUUCCAACACCUAUCUGGUUGGACAUUCAGUCAGCCUUGCUGACAUUGUCAUGACAUGCAACCUCUAUUUGGGUUUCUCCCAGAUCAUGACUAAGAGCUUUACCUCUGAAUUCCCUCAUGUUGAGAGGUACUUCUGGACCAUGGUUAAUCAACCAAAUUUCAAGAAGAUUCUUGGUGAAGUGAAGCAAGCAGAGUCUGUGCCACCUGUUGCCUCAAAGAAGCCUGCUGCCCAGCCAAAAGAAACUAAACCAAAGGCCAAGAAUGAACCAAAGAAAGAACCCAAAAAGGAGGUUGAGAAACCAGCUAAGGCAGAGGCUGCUGAGGAGGAAGAGGCACCAAAGCCCAAACCAAAG
rnacentral:lncRNA from 1 species